CGGCAACAGCUCAAAUUUGAAAUCUGGCCCCAGGCCCGAAUUGUAAUUUGUAGAGGAUGCUUUUGGCGCGGUGCCUUCCGAGUUCCCUGGAACGGGACGCCAUAGAGGGUGAGAGCCCCGUCUGGUCGGAUACCUAGCCUCUGUAAAGCUCCUUCGAC
rnacentral:rRNA from 1 species